rnacentral:rRNA from 1 species
AGCGAACGCUGGCGGCAGGCCUAACACAUGCAAGUCGAGCGCCCGGAGCAAUCCGGGAGCGGCAGACGGGAGAGUAACACGUGGGAACGUACCCUUUGGUUCGGAACAACACAGGGAAACUUGUGCUAAUACCGGAUAAGCCCUUACGGGGAAAGAUUUAUCGCCAAAGGAUCGGCCCGCGUCUGAUUAGCUAGUUGGUGGGGUAACGGCCCACCAAGGCGACGAUCAGUAGCUGGUCUGAGAGGAUGAUCAGCCUCAUUGGGACUGAGACACGGCCCAAACUCCUACGGGAGGCAGCAGUGGGGAAUAUUGGACAAUGGGCGCAAGCCUGAUCCAGCCAUGCCGCGUGGGUGAUGAAGGCCCUAGGGUUGUAAAGCCCUUUCGGCGGGAAGAUAAUGACGGUACCCGCAGAAGAAGCCCCGGCUAACUUCGUGCCAGCAGCCGCCGU